AUACGUAGGGUGCAAGCGUUAAUCGGAAUUACUGGGCGUAAAGCGUGCGCAGGCGGUUUUGUAAGACAGAGGUGAAAUCCCCGGGCUCAACCUGGGAACUGCCUUUGUGACUGCAAGGCUAGAGUACGGCAGAGGGGGAUGGAAUUCCGCGUGUAGCAGUGAAAUGCGUAGAUAUGCGGAGGAACACCGAUGGCGAAGGCAAUCCCCUGGGCCUGUACUGACGCGCAUGCACGAACGCGUGGGGAGCAAACAGGAUUAGAUACCCUGGUAGGUCACGCCCUAAACGAUGUCAACUGGUUGUUGGGUCUUCAUUGACUCAGUAACGAAGCUAACGCAUGAAGUUGACCGCCUGGGGAGUCCGGUCGCAAGGUUGAAACUCAAAUGAAUUGACGGGG
rnacentral:rRNA from 1 species